AGUAUGCACUGGGAGUAUUUGUUUUCUUUGUUUCCCAGUUUCGUUAUGCGGAGGAGCAGUACAAAAAGCAUAUCAUUGAUUCAGUCAUGAGCACCUACUCGUAAAUUUCAUGUGUGUCAUUCUAGUACAGAUUAUACAUGUAAAUGUCAUGUGUGUCAUUCUAGUACAGAUUAUACAUGUACAAAAUUUCAAUUUUCUAUGAGGCUUGCUCCCAAAAAAUCGACUGUUUUCCUUGCUGGGUUGCAGGCAAUAUGGCUAAACAAAUCUUGUCCGAUUCUUACGCGUAUUUGCACAAUUGCUUUAUGCGAUUUUCGAUACUUUUUGAACGCCUACUGAGUUGGCUUAAAAUGUUCCUUCCCUUUUUUCUGAUUUGGCGUCUGGAACACUCUUAGGCGAUGGCAAAAUUAUUUUGGAUAUUUCUGUUGUUGGUUUAUGUACCACUGGACUGCCUUCUGGUCCAGGCGUGUGGUGCGUCGCUACCAGAGCGACCUCGCUGUCUGGCAGAAAACCUACGGGAUGCCGGAUACCGGUCAAGUCGUCUUAUUUAACGGUUGGCACAAGGCAAGCAGGGUCGUGUGCGACGACUGUCGGAUGAAUCGCGUGGGUAAAUUGAUUGACCAGGCAAAAAGUAUGCCUUGAUGUGGUGCUACUGUCUACCGCCAAUGUCAAGUACAUUGACCGCAUAUUGGCUGCACAUAUUCGGAGUGUCACUGUGCGCGUUCUCGCCAGCGGCGAUGGGCCAGCGAUGAAGCUACUCUGCGCCCUGAGUGUGCAGGUGCGCUGCUCAAUCGGAGUAAUAUUCGGGUACAAUUUUGCUAUAAUAGAUAGUGAAAAGCGAGCCCUGGAGAUAGAGGCCAAGCAGGAUACGGUCCACACGUGUCUUUGGCGACUAAGGGGUAACAUGAAAGGGUGUCUAAACUGGAUCCUACUGUCCGCGUUGCAGAAAAGUGAUUAUAGGAAUGACAAUCGCCACCACCAAAAAUUUGUUGAUGAAUGGAACUUCUUAUAUCCUGUCACCCCGUCCUACUUCAUAGCAUAUAAUUUGCGUUCACCGCAGCAUAAAGCAUAGAUCAAAGGGUUAGUUAGUUAUGUUUUCACCUCUGCUUCAACCGGCCGACAUACCGCGUGAAUACCCACAAA